GACGAACGCUGGCGGCGUGCUUAACACAUGCAAGUCGAACGAUGAAGCUGGAGCUUGCUCCGGUGGAUUAGUGGCGAACGGGUGAGUAACACGUGAGCAAUCUGCCCUUGACUCUGGGAUAACUGCGGGAAACUGUAGCUAAUACCGGAUACGAGACCUGAAGGCAUCUUCGGGUCUGGAAAGAAUUUCGGUCAAGGAUGAGCUCGCGGCCUAGCAGCUUGUUGGUGAGGUAAUGGCUCACCAAGGCGACGACGGGUAGCCGGCCUGGGAGGGUGACCGGCCACACUGGGACUGAGACACGGCCCAGACUCCUACGGGAGGCGGCAGUGGGGAAUAUUGCACAAUGGGCGAAAGCCUGAUGCAGCAACGCCGCGUGAGGGAUGAAGGCCUUCGGGUUGUAAACCUCUUUUAGCAGGGAAGAAGCGAAAGUGACGGUACCUGCAGAAAAAGCACCGACUAACUACGUGCCAGCCGCCGCAGUAA
rnacentral:rRNA from 1 species